UGAGAUUUUUGCCCUGAAACUGUUUCUGGAUGAUCAGUUCAGGAUUAAAGACCUGGGGUCUUUGCAUUAUUUUGAUGAGAUUUCUGCCCUGAAACUGUUUCUGGAUGAUUAGUUCAGGAUUAAAAACCUGGGGUCUUUGCAUUAUUUUUUGGGCAUAGAGGUGUCAGUUGUUCCUGGUGGGAUGAUCCUUAAUCAGCAUAAGUAUGUUUCUGACCUGCUGCAUCAGUUUGACUGUAUAAAUGUUUCUCCUGUUGUUAUUCCUUUGGAUAUUAAUGUCAAACUUCAUGCUGAUUCUGGUGAUAUUUUAUCCUCCCCUGAUCAAUAUAGGAGCCUUGUUGGUAUACUCCUAUUUUUGACUCACACUAGGCCUGACAUUUGUUUUCCUGUUCAGCAUCUGAGUCAAUUUUUGAACUGUCCCAGAGUCCC
rnacentral:lncRNA from 1 species